rnacentral:rRNA from 1 species
GACGGAGGAUGCAAGUGUUAUCCGGAAUCACUGGGCGUAAAGCGUCUGUAGGUGGUUUAAUAAGUCAACUGUUAAAUCUUGAAGCUCAACUUCAAAAUCGCAGUCGAAACUAUUAGACUAGAGUAUAGUAGGGGUAAAGGGAAUUUCCAGUGGAGCGGUGAAAUGCGUAGAGAUUGGAAAGAACACCGAUGGCGAAGGCACUUUACUGGGCUAUUACUGACACUCAUGCACGAAAGCGUGGGGAGCAAACAGG